CUAUCAAAAGAAGUUCUUGUUCAAGUUGCAUCUCUGGAGAAAUCGCAUGCGAUAUGGGACGCACUAGGGAACAUGUUCUCCGCCGUGUCCCUGUAUCGUGCGAACAACAUACGCGCAGCCCUCACCAAUGCCCAGAAGGGAUCGCAAUCGGCAUCGGCGUACUUCGGGCACAUGCGGUCGCUUGCUGAUGAGCUCGCGGCGGCGGGCAAACCGAUCACCGAGACCGACCUCAUCUCCUUCAUCAUCACGGGCCUCUACAUGGAGUACCAGCCGAUCAUCACUGCGCUGGAUGUCCGCACCGAGCCGGUCACCAUUGAUGCCCUCUUCUCACUGGUGGCAAAUUUCGAUCAGAGGGUCGAGAUGUUCCACGGUAAUUGUUCUAGUGCCUUUAAAUCUUCUACAAACAUUGCAUCUCGU
rnacentral:rRNA from 1 species